CUUCCCUCUGCCCCCGCUUUUCUGUGCCUCAGGUGUCGCAGCCACAUGUCAGGAUGGAGACACGCUGAAAGUAAGAAAUCAAAGCCAUCCAAGAAUGACUGAAGAGGACAGACAAGCCUAAUGGUUUAGAUAAAGAUCUCAUCUCUUAGAGACUGCAAACAUCUUGAGUGUAGGAUCUGUAUCUUCCUAUCUCUGCUUCAACCACAGCAACUAUCUCGGGAAUCAACUGAGGUCCCUAAUGAGUAUACAAGGAAUACAGUAUACAAGGGGAAGACACACCUUAUGAAGGAUGAAAUGACUUGUUCAAGGGAAGGAAGGCACUGAGUCACUCAGGAAUGACCCACUCAGGAAGUGAGUGGGAACUUUUCAAUAUUGAACCUUCUGAGUCUGAAAAGGCUGUGGAACUCUUUGCUUCCCGAUCCUUUAGGAGAGGCGAGCUGUCAAAGGCCACCACACUUGGGGUUAUGUAUCAAUGUAAAGUAUAUUCUAAGACAUCACAGAGAACAGAUAUGAAGCUGAUACGUGACAGAUUUGAUAGCAAUUAAAGUAACAGAACAUGCUUUCA